AACGAACGCUGGCGGCAUGCCUAACACAUGCAAGUCGAACGAAGCCUUCGGGCUUAGUGGCGCACGGGUGCGUAACACGUGGGAAUCUGCCCUUUGGUUCGGAAUAACAGUUAGAAAUGACUGCUAAUACCGGAUAAUGACGUAAGUCCAAAGAUUUAUCGCCGAAGGAUGAGCCCGCGUAGGAUUAGGUAGUUGGUGGGGUAAAUGGCCCACCAAGCCGACGAUCCUUAGCUGGUCUGAGAGGAUGAUCAGCCACACUGGGACUGAGACACGGCCCAGACUCCUACGGGAGGCAGCAGUGGGAAUAUUGGACAAUGGGCGAAAGCCUGAUCCAGCAAUGCCGCGUGAGUGAUGAAGGCCUUAGGUUGUAAAGCUCUUUACCAGGGAUGAUAAUGACAGUACCUGGAGAAUAAGACUCCGGCUAAACUCCGUGCCAGCAGCCGCGGUAAU
rnacentral:rRNA from 1 species